GAUGAACGCUGGCGGCGUGCCUAAUACAUGCAAGUCGAGCGAACAGACGAGGAGCUUGCUCCUCUGACGUUAGCGGCGGACGGGUGAGUAACACGUGGAUAACCUACCUAUAAGACGGGGAUAACUUCGGGAAACCGGAGCUAAUACCGGAUAAUAUAUUGAACCGCAUGGUUCAAUAGUGAAAGACGGUUUUGCUGUCACUUAUAGAUGGAUCCGCGCCUCAUUAGCUAGUUGGUAAGGUAACGGCUUACCAAGGCAACGAUGCGUAGCCGACCUGAGAGGGUGAUCGGCCACACUGGAACUGAGACACGGUCCAGACUCCUACGGGAGGCAGCAGUAGGGACUCUUCCGCAAUGGGCGAAAGCCUGACGGAGCAACGCCGCGUGAGUGAAGAAGGUCUUCGGAUCGUAAAACUCUGUUAUUAGGGAAGAACAAAUGUGUAAGUAACUAUGCACGUCUUGACGGUACCUAAGCAGAAAGCCACGGCUAACUACGU
rnacentral:rRNA from 1 species